rnacentral:tRNA from 1 species
UCUAAUGUGGCAGAAUAGUGCAAUGGAUUUAAACCCCAUAUAUAAAAUUUUAUUUUCUUUAGAA